CCAAGAUCCAUUUAUUCUCCCUCUACUCUGUUUCUAUCUUUGCUUAGUUUUAAGGGAAUUUUUUUUUUUUUUUUGCAUAAAAGUAAUACCGGGGACUUCCCUGGUGGUCCGGUAGCUAAGACUCUGUGCUCCCAGUGCGGGGGCCCUGGGUUCCAUCUCUGGUCAGGGAACUAGAUCCCGCAUGCUGCCACUAAAGACACCACAUGCUGCAGCUGAAAGAUCCCAAGUGCCACAACUAAGACCCGGUAUAGCCAAAUAAAAAAUUUUUAAAGUAGAUCAUGGAAGAAGUCAAGUGGUACAGAUUUGUAUAAAGCAAAAAACACAUUCCUCUAGUCCCCAAAACCCACUCUCUGGUGGUGAGCACAAUGCGUGUUUGCAGCGUGGCUGUCCUGACUUUUCCUGGGGACACUGACUUAUGACCUUUUCAUUCCCACUAACACUGCCAUUGAGACCUCUUUUCUUCUACGUGAAGUUAAGAAUCCCUAUGUAAAGGUUAAUCCCCAAUGCAAACAGUUUUGUUUAUUGGCUGCGCUGGGUCUUCGUUGCUUUGUGCAGGCUUUCUUUAAUUGCCAUCAGUGAGGGCUGCUCUUCUUGCAGUGUGCAGUGUUUCUCAUUGUGAUGGCUUCUCUUGUCGCAGAGCGCAGGCUCUAGAGCGCACUGGCUUCAGUCAUUGCGGCUUGCAAGCUUUAGGGCACAGGCUCAGUAGCUGCGGUGCGCAGGCUUAUUUGCUCCACUAUAUAUGGAAUAUUCCCAGACUAGGGAUCAAACCUGUGUCCCCUGCAUUGGCGGGCAGAUUCUUAUCUACUGCACUACCCGGGAAGUCUGAAAACAAUUUUUUCCCCCAACUUAUUUCGCUUCGCUGGGUCUUGGUUGCUCAGUUGUGGCAUGUAGAAUCUAGUUCCCUGACCAGGGAUGGAGCUGGGGUCCCUGUGUUGGGAGCUCGGAGUCUUAGCUACUGGGAGCUUGGAGUCUUAGCUACUCGGAGUCUUAGCUACUGGAACUUACCAGAGAAGUUCCAUGAAAAUAUUUUCAGAGUGUUAGCAAUUUUUUGUGUGUGUGUGAUAGCAAUUUUUUAAAAGCAAUCUUAAAUUUGUUCUGAUUUUAUUUGAGUGAUAAAAAUCUGGAGAAAGAAAGGUCAGGUGGGAAUGGUAUAGAAUGAGGAGAGCUGGCUGGAAUCUUGAUGCCCUUCUGGAGGUCCUUCAUGGUCUGGAUGGACAGGGGGCUACUGCAGUCGAGGCCUUAUCUGAGAGGCACCAAACUCACAUUCCAGGGAGGCCAGGAAGGGAACUUAUCUGAGUUCAGUGGGCUGUGCGGAGUCUGUGAGGAACCUGAGAGCAAAUGCCUCUUCUAUGGCCAUCGUUCAGCUGCCCUCCAGCCUUUUGUGUCCUUGUGGUCACGUAGGUCCAGGGGUGCUAAAAAUUCCAAUUUUUUGAGAAAGGCUGUAUAUUCAGAUUUUUAUGUAAAAUACCCUGAUUUGAAAAUAUUCUGUGGUUGAAAUAAAACACACCUAUAAACCAUUUUUUUUUGUUUUAAUCAUUGUGUUUGCCUUUUUUUAAUUUGGCUGCACCAGUUCUCAGUUGCAGUAGGCAGGAUAUUCGAUCUUUGCAGCAGGUGGUAUCUAG
ensembl:lncRNA